UCUGACAUUAUAAAAAUUCCUUCUGUAAUUCCCAAUGGUCUAUGUUUUGCAGGGUGGAGAAUGUGACUCUUUCUAUGUCGUUGGGAGUGGGGAGUUUGAGGUCUUAGCGACACAGGAUGAGAAAAAUGGAGAAGUUCCAAGGGUUCUUCAGCACUACACGGCUGAUAAGCUGUCAUCCUUUGGAGAGCUGGCUCUGAUGUACAAUAAACCACUCCAAGCUUCUGUUCGUGCUGUCACCAAUGGAAUUUUGUGGGAACUAAAAAGAGAAGAUUUUAGAAAUAUUCUUAUGUCCGAGUUUACUAAUUUGUCUUCGUUGAAGCUGCUGCGAUCUGUAGAUCUUCUCUCAAGAUUGACAAUUUUACAGCUAAGUCAUAUUGCAGAGUUGGUUUCAGAAGUGCCCUUUUCUGAUGGACAGACAAUAGUAAAUGAGAAUCAGGAACCUAUGGGCCUAUACAUUAUCCAGAAAGGGGUUGUAAAAAUUACAUUUGACAUGGAUUUAGUGAAAUGUGAAAAUGCAUCAAGUCUCAUGUGUGAAAACCAAAAGCAGGAUGAUACACAUAACAAAAAAGGCAUAACAGUUGAAAAGAGUGAAGGGAGCUAUUUUGGGGAAUGGACACUUCUUGGGGAACAAAUAGCCUCCUUGAGUGUCAUUGCUGUGGGUGAUGUGGUAUGUGCUAUCUUAACUAAGGAGAAGUUUGAUUCAGUUGUGGGUUCUUUGGCAAAGCUCUCACAGGAUGAUCUCAAGGCAAAGGGCCAUCAAACAAUUCUCUCUUCAGAAUCUAUCCCGAGCGUUGACACUUCUAUGCUUGCAGAUUUGCAGCUUGCCUAUUUGGAGUGGCAGACUUGUUUGUAUUCAACGGACUGCAGUGAGAUUGGCCUAGUGCGUCUGAAAAACUCAGAUAAACUGCUUAGCUUGAAGAGAUUUUCAAAGCAGAAAAUUAAGAUGCUUGGCAAAGAAGAACAAGUACUAAAAGAGAAGAAUCUAUUGAAGCAAAUGAACAGAGUAGCUUCAGUACCUAAAGUUUUAUGCACCUGUGCUGAUGAAACUCAUGCUGGCAUAAUUCUGGACUCAUGCCUGGCUUGCUCUAUGGUAGCAAUACUUCACAGCCCCUUUGAUGAGGAGUCAGCACGUUUCUGUGCUGCAUCCGUUGUCAUUGCCCUGGAAGACUUGCACAAUAAUGGUAUUCUCUAUAGAGGUGUGUCUCCUGAUGUGCUAAUGUUAGACCAAACUGGCCAUAUACAGCUAGUGGAGUUCAGAUUUUCUAAGAAGAUUCCUUCUGAGUUGGAUGAGAGGACAUUUACCAUAUGCGGGAUGGCUGAUUCUCUAGCUCCAGAAAUAGUCCAAGGGAAAGGCCAUGGCUUUGCUGCUGACUGGUGGGCAUUGGGAACAUUGAUCUACUUCAUGCUACACGGUGAAAUGCCAUUUGGAUCAUGGAGAGAGAGUGAGCUUACAUUUGCAAGGAUUGCUAAAGGACAGUUUACACUUCCACAUACAUUCAGCCAAGAAGCUGUUGAUCUCAUUACCAAGUUACUUCAAGUUGAUGAAAAGCUGAGACUCGGAAGCCAAGGUGUUCACUCUCUAAAAAAUCAUCCAUGGUUUUCUGGUGUUGAUUGGAAAGAAGUAGCAGAUCAUCGAAGUCCUGUUCCUGCAGAGAUUCUAUCUCGUAUAAGUCAACGCUUGGAAAAUCAUGGUGAUGUCAACAUAGCUUCCCUACAUUCCCCUAUUCGGGACUUGGAGGAGCUUAACACUCCAGAGUGGCUUGAAGACUGGUAGCGCGUUUUGAAUAAAGUUUUGCCCAUCACAUUCCAGGAUGCUGCUAGCGGCAAAAUUGACCAGCUUAUUGUUUCAGAACUGUCCUGUUGGAGAAUCAGUCAAAUGAACUGAGUAAGGUGCCGCUUCUAAAUCAUGUUCUCCUGUUGAUCAACCACGUGGCGGCCUAGGGAGAAAUGUCUUUCUGCUUUUCUUGGACAAUCAUAAGCUUAUGCUACAGUAUUGCAGAUUUCACCGUCUUACGCCACCAAAAACAUGAUAUGGGCAAUUGACAAUUUCACUUUAAUUUAUUGAGAGUUCUCAGCAUUUAUGGUAGAUACGAGGACCAACUACAAAUUGAUUAAUGGGCAUCUAGUUUAGCUGAGCUAACUUCUGUUAUAUAAGUAGCAGCCUGUUACAUGAUGUACAUGUAGUUAUGAACUAUUGUGCA